UGCAGUCGAACGGGGUGAUUCAGCAAUGGAUCAUUCAGUGGCGCACGGGUGCGUAACGCGUAUGCAACCUACCUUAAACUGGGGGAUAGCCUUCCGAAAGGGAGAUUAAUACCGCAUAAGAUCACACGAGGGCAUCUGAGAGUGAUUAAAGAUUUAUUGGUUUAAGAUGGGCAUGCGUGCCAUUAGCUAGUUGGUGAGGUAACGGCUCACCAAGGCUACGAUGGCUAGGGGUUCUGAGAGGAUGAUCCCCCACACUGGUACUGAGAUACGGACCAGACUCCUACGGGAGGCAGCAGUAGGGAAUAUUGGGCAAUGGACGCAAGUCUGACCCAGCCAUGCCGCGUGCAGGAUGAAGGCCUUCUGGGUUGUAAACUGCUUUUAUCUAGGAAGAAAACACCCAUGCGUGGGAAACUGACGGUACUAGAUGAAUAAGCACCGGCUAACUCCGUGCCAGCAGCCGCGGUAAUACGGAGGGUGCAAGCGUUGUCCGGAUUUAUUGGGUUUAAAGGGUGCGUAGGCGGCCCGGUAAGUCAGUGGUGAAAGCCUCCAGCUCAACUGGAGAACUGCCAUUGAUACUGCCGGGCUUGAGUACAGACGAGGUUGGCGGAAUUGAUUGUGUAGCGGUGAAAUGCAUAGAUACAAUCAAGAACUCCGAUUGCGUAGGCAGCUAACUAGGCUGUAACUGACGCUGAGGCACGAAAGCGUGGGGAGCGAACAGGAUUAGAUACCCUGGUAGUCCACGCCGUAAACGAUGAUUACUCGAUGUUGGCGAUAAACUGUCAGCGUC
rnacentral:rRNA from 1 species